UACGUAGGGUGCGAGCGUUGCCCCGGAUUUAUUGGGCGUAAAGGGCGCGUAGGCGGUGAGAUGCGUCCGUUGUGAAAUCGCCCGGCUCAACUGGGCGGGGUCAGCGGAUACGGUCUCACUUGAGCAAGCUAGGGGGCAAUGGAAUUCCCGGUGUAGUGGUGGAAUGCGUAGAUAUCGGGAGGAACACCAGUGGCGAAGGCGGUUGCCUGGGGCUU
rnacentral:rRNA from 1 species